rnacentral:rRNA from 1 species
GAUCAUGGCUCAGAUUGAACGCUGGCGGCAUGCCUUACACAUGCAAGUCGAACGGUAACGGGCCUUCGGGUGCCGACGAGUGGCGAACGGGUGAGUAAUGCAUCGGAACGUACCUUUCAGUGGGGAUAACGUAGCGAAAGUUACGCUAAUACCGCAUAUUCUGUGAGCAGGAAAGCAGGGGAUCGCAAGACCUUGCGCUGAUUGAGCGGCCGAUGUCAGAUUAGCUAGUUGGUGAGGUAAAGGCUCACCAAGGCGACGAUCUGUAGCGGGUCUGAGAGGAUGAUCCGCCACACUGGAACUGAGACACGGUCCAGACUCCUACGGGAGGCAGCAGUGGGGAAUUUUGGACAAUGGGGCAACCCUGAUCCAGCCAUGCCGCGUGAGUGAAGAAGGCCUUCGGGUUGUAAAGCUCUUUCGGCCGGGAAGAAAUCGCAUGGGUUAAUACCCUGUGCGGAUGACGGUACCGGCAUAAGAAGCACCGGCUAACUACGUG